AAGUCGUAACAAGGUUUCCGUAGGUGAACCUGCGGAAGGAUCAUUAACGAUAUAAACCGUGGUCGAGGUUGUUAGCUGGCCCCAGGGCAUGUGCACGCCUCUUCCGCUCAUAUCCCACCACCACAACCUGUGCCACCUUUGCGGGGUCGGGUAACACCGGCUCGCGUCCUUUUACAACCUCGUAUGUCUAUAAGAAUGUAUCUUUGUGUCAAUAAAAACGCAUCUAAUAACGA
rnacentral:misc_RNA from 1 species